GAUGAAGAACGCAGCGAAAUGCGAUAAGUAAUGUGAAUUGCAGAAUUCAGCGAAUCAUCGAAUCUUUGAACGCACAUUGCGCCCGCCAGUAUUCUGGCGGGCAUGCCUGUCUGAGCGUCAUUUCAACCCUCAGCCCCCGCUCGCGGGGCGCUGGCGUUGGGGAUCGGCCGUCCUCGCGGCGGCCGGCCCCGAAACACAGUGGCGGUCUCUCGCGGACUCCCCUGCGUAGUAGCACUACCUCGCAGAAGGGACGAGCGGGCUGACCACGCCGUAAAACCCCCCACUUCUCCAGGUUGACCUCAGAUCAGGUAGGAAUACCCGCUGAACUUAAGCAUAUCAAUAAGCGGAGGA
rnacentral:misc_RNA from 1 species